UGAAUAGUGGAAGACUUUAACCAAUUGUGACUUUAUGUUUUAUGCGAAGAAGAUAAAAAACAAAUUAAGUUUUGAAUAGUCAACGGAACUUUGAAAAUCGGUGAAAUAUUUACAACAAAAAUUGAAAUAAAAUUUUAUUAUGACAUCGGUAGAACUGCAAGUGCUGAGAACCCAAUUAACAAAAUGUCGAGAAAUAAUAUGUUUGGGGUCCAGCGAUAUGAGCACCCGCAUAGAGUGGUUAAAUAAUUUCUGUGGUGAUUUUUAUAUAUUUGCCAAUCACCUGCAUAAAUUUAUAGCUAGCGAAAUAAAAGAAGAUGAUCAUGAGGGAAACGAAAUAAUGGAUAACAUUUUUCUUUGCUUAGCUCAAGUUUGCUUGUGUACAAAAUAUCUGGAACGAAUUAUACGAGCUGAGGAUACUGCGCGUAAUGCAAUACCUACUUCUAGAAAACAUUUUAUUGAUCGCAUAAUGUUGUGCUUCGAUAAAUUAGAAAAAAGUUUUACUAAUUUAUCCAUUGCUACCGAAAAUAAAUCACAAAUGUCUGGUUAUGGAUUUAUCACUUUGUUAGACAUAGCAAUGGAUCACAUAAAAGAGUAUAGUACGUAUCAGGAAGAUAUAAAUACUGACACCAAUGAACUAAACCAACUUGAAGAUGCACUAGAGACCAGUAAAGACGUUUACCAGGCCGUACGUUUAAUGAUCAGCCAUGCACUUGCGCUAGCAAAUGUGGCAUUGAUUCAGGAUAAAACAGCAAUAAGCGCAUUAUGUCAAAAGGUCUUGCGAGAAUGCACAGCAUUUCAACACGAAUGUGAAAACAAUUUGAAACUCAUUCGCACAAAUAAUUGGCAUCGCAGAAUAAAGGCUAUCGCACUGGGAACGUCAUUAACACAAUUGCAUCAGUACAUUGAUGGCACUGUUUUGCGUUUGAUAUUUCUUUGUUUCGCCGAUUUAGAAAAGUUUUCAUUAGAUAAACUUCGCGCUAAGAUACGUCAAACCCGAGCAGAUGACACCGAGUUAGACGAAUUUAUAGCCGAUUUUGAUGUAAAUUUAGAUAGGCUGGCACAAAUUGGACUCUUUGCUGCUAGUGACUGCUUAAAGCCCAAAUUAAAAACAUUGGUACGCAGUUGUAUGGCAUCGCUGGAAGCACUGGAUUCAUGCAUUAUACCAUCAUUGCAAGCAUAUAAUGGCACCGAUAUGCAUACUGAAAUACUUGAGCAACAUUUUUAUGAGGAAAUAAAUAAGUUCAAAACAGUUUUAUGCGAAAUUGUCGAUGCGCAGCCGAUCACCAGAUGUUUUUACGAAUUGUUUAACUCAUGCCUUGCUGACACAGAAAAACAAUUUAACAAAUCAAAGUUGGAUGACUUGGUGCAAAUGGGCGAAUUUCUUUUGCAAUAUUUUCAAUAUCCUGCCAACAAAAAAGAACUGCAACAUUCUCCAAUAUUCAAAAAUAACGCACUAGAACUUUUUCAGAAAUUCAAAUUAAUGUUAAAUGAAUGUCGUGCCGUUUUAGUAUGUGCCGACCAGGUGAAUCACGUGCGUAUAAUGAAACGUUUUAAGAUAUUGCGUGCUAUUUUGCGCCGUUUCGUUGACGCGCUUGAGCCCACCGAAAAUGUGUCAGCCAAAAAAGUUGACGAAAAUCUAACAGUAAUACAAAGCACUACCACGGGUGUACAAACAAUUGACUUGAAUGCAUCGCAGUAUAUGCUAGAUAGUAUAGAACCGAGCAUUUGCAGCAUAUUGUAUCGUAAUGAAACCGAUGAAUUUACGCCACGUAGGCGUGCGGCAACCGAUUCCAUGCGUGGUAAUUACUCUAAAUGUCCAUUGUUUCAAAAUGAUCAACCAUUUUCGCACACAAAAUUAAACGAUGGCGGGCAAAGCCAAUUCAGGCAGUGUCGCAGAAGUAGCGCUGGCUGUAGUGGCGCUGGCAGCAGUAUGCGUAGGAGUAGAAGAAAGUUUGCGUACAGUGAUGUUUAAGCGUCAAAAAUCCGCAGAAACACAGAAAGUUUGUAAUUUUUAUUUGCAAAACUCGGCCAGUUUGCAAAUUUCGGAAAUACUAGAUCAAUUGUCGGAGAUAUCUGGUAACAGCCGGAGCGCUAAAGAAGAAAAUUUGCUGAACACCUCGAUAAUGGAAUAGAAAGAUCUAUUUGCUAUAUAAUAUUUUCUGUAAAAGAAAAUGUGUUCAGGGCGAAAAUAGAAUUAUCUAUGAAAGAUAAUUAAAUACACUUAAUUAAUUGUAAGUGUUUACGGCGUAUAUGCAAUCUUAAAUCUAUCUAUCUACUAUAGCUUAUUUAUAUUGUCAGGUAUUAUUUAUACAUUUUGGUUUUCGUUCAUAAUUUUUGCGUAUUUAAUUUUUAUUUUAAACACCUAUUAUUGUUCAGAGUCGUGCUCGUUAAUAUUUUCAACAACAAUAAGUAUUGUAUUGUGAUCUUUUUUAACAGUUUCUUUCGUAAGCUUUAUACAACUCUUCCUUAUAUUAAUAAGCUCAAAAACUUGUAUAUGCGUUUGCAUUAAUUUUUAUUAUUUGGUACAAUAUCAGUCGUAUUUUGUAUCUCCGUUAUAUAAUUCGAAUAAAAGCGCAUUUAUAGAACAUGAAGCAAGCUUUCAAAUAACUGUAAAUAUACCGAACCCUGGAAUGUGAAUAGCGGAAAUUCCAUUAGAAAUGGAAGUGAAUUCCCUAGUGGUUGUCAAACUGUCAAAGCGUUUUUUUAUAUACAUAUAAAUAUUUAUUUUAUUAAGAAAAAUACUUUACAAAUAAUACAGUGGAAUGUUAAAACUAA
rnacentral:misc_RNA from 1 species